CCUACGGGAGGCAGCAGUGAGGAAUAUUGGUCAAUGGUCGAGAGGCUGAACCAGCCAAGCCGCGUGAGGGAAGAAGGUCCAGAGUAUCGUAAACCUCUUUUGUCAGGGAACAAAGACUGGCACGCGUCCCCGUUUGAGUGUACCUGAAGAAAAAGCAUCGGCUAACUCCGUGCCAGCAGCCGCGGUAAUACGGAGGAUGCGAGCGUUAUCCGGAUUUAUUGGGUUUAAAGGGUGCGCAGGCGGUAUAUAAAGUCAGCGGUAAAAUCCUGGGGCUCAACCCCAGCCCGCCGUUGAAACUGAUGAUCUUGAGUGGGCGAGAAGUAUGCGGAAUGCGUGGUGUAGCGGUGAAAUGCAUAGAUA
rnacentral:rRNA from 1 species